CCGCUGCCUGGUACGAGCCUGAUCCAGCCAUGCCGCGUGUGUGAAGAAGGCCUUCGGGUUGUAAAGCACUUUCAGUUGGGAGGAAAGGGUGUUACCUAAUACGUGAUUGUUUUGACGUUACCUACAGAAUAAGGACCGGCUAACUCCGUGCCAGCAGCCGCGGUAAUA
rnacentral:rRNA from 1 species